rnacentral:tRNA from 1 species
AAAAUAAACAAAUUUGAAAUCUAAAUGAUGAAUCCAAAAUUUCUAUGGAAUUCUGAAAGAUGGAAAAUUUUUU